UACGUAGGGGGCAAGCGUUGUCCGGAAUCAUUGGGCGUAAAGCGCGCGUAGGCGGCCCGGUAAGUCCGCUCUGAAAGUCCAAGGCUCAACCUUGGAAUGCGGGUGGAUACUGCCGGGCUAGAGUCCGGAAGAGGCGAGUGGAGUUCCUGGUGUAGCGGUGGAAUGCGCAGAUAUCAGGAGGAACACCAAUAGCGAAGGCAGCUCGCUGGGACGGUACUGACGCUAAGGCGCGAAAGCGUGGGGAGCGAACAGG
rnacentral:rRNA from 1 species